AAUCCCACAGGCCAAAAUUAGAGGCUGGAGAGAUAACAUUUAACCUUAGAAUGGCCGAGAUCAUGAAGAGAGCAAGACUGAGAUUUUUGAGAUAGAGAAGUUGAUGUCCAGACUUGAAGACUCCGCUGAAGGUCACCCAACCAGAAACGGUAAAUAACGCCUCACUUUACGACUACAAACGAGGGAAAUGUCAUAAAGCGGGGCAAGCGAACACUCAGAAGCAAAUGGAAAUGUUGGUUUUCCUCCCUCCGGCCGUCCUGUCCAGUGCUACCGAGGCCUAGGGUCCCAGUGGCCCCGCCAAGCUCUGGUUCCCGACGCCGGCCCACAGUUUUCUGGCUUCCUUUCCCACCCUGGGGGGAGCUCGGCCUCUCUCUGAGAAGCCUGUCCCAGAGCCAGGCCUGGAAAAACAACAGCGAGAAACUUUGGCAGG
rnacentral:lncRNA from 1 species